rnacentral:rRNA from 1 species
AUGGAGGAGUGGGUCUUUCUCGGCGAGAGCGGCAGCGACGCCGAGACCGUGUGCUCCGUGGACGACAAGGGCAGCGAGACGGACUUCACCAUGGUGCAGCUCCGCCGAAGCCGUGCUGCGGAGAGCCGUGCGACGAUGGCUGAAGGCGGCAAGAACCAUGACGAGGAGGAGAGCGACCACGACGACGACGAUGACCAUUACUUCGACCUCAACCUCCCGGCCCUCGCAGGAAGCAAGGCCGUCUUCGGCGCCAAGGGAGAUUGCUUCGAUCUCGAUCUGGCGGCUAGCAUCCUAAGCAUGGGCAGCGUUGGGUACGACGGCGGGUUCCACGGUGCCGACGCCGAGGACGACAUUGACACGGUGAGCCUUGGCGCGCCGGACGGCGACGGCGACGGCGACGGCGCCGUGCACCCAGAGAGCGUCCUCUGUGCCCACUGCGCCAAGAUCGUCACGGACCAGAGCUCCGACGCGGCGAAGCUGGUCAAGUACGACGACAUCGACACUGGCAGCUCUGACGACGAGCCCUCAGACGAGGAUGACACCGAUCAGAGCUCCCACAUGGCGGGAUUGGUCAAGUACGACGACAUCGACACUGGCAGCUCUGAAGACGAGCCCUCAGACGAGGAUGACACCGAUCAGAGCUCCGACAUGUCCGAAUUGGUCGAGUACGACGACAUUGAUAUUGAUACCGGCAGCUCUGACUCGUCGGAGAGCGACUACGGCGAUAACGACGAGCUCUCAGACGAGGAUGACACCGACGGCUCUGUCUGGGCGGAGUUGGUCAACUACGACGACAUUGACACCGGCAGCUCUGACUCGUCGGAGAGCGACCACGACGGCAACGAUGAACUGUCGGACGAGGAUGACACCGAUGGCAAUGUCGCUCCGCAGCAGCGCCGCUUGACAGCCAUAGCAACGUCGCGGCCUCCUAGUGCGCCCCACCUCUUCUUCACCCACCCGAGCCGAUCGACUUACAAGAGCACCGACGCGGAGGAGGGCGACGACGAAAAUACCCAGAAUUCCUCCGACGCGGCGGAGGACGACGACAACUAUGAAACCGAGAGCUACUCUGCCAAGGGUGACAAUGGCGACGAUCACGGCAAGACCUCUUACACGUCGUUGGCUCACCGGGAUGAGGUUAUCUCAGGGUUCGUCGGUGCAAUGAUGACUAGAGCAGAUGCGCUGGCGCGGUUCGACGCGGUGGAAUCGGCGCUGGAGCUCCCACAAUACAGUCUGAGCAAAUCCGACGUCCACGCCUGGAAGGCCGCCCUCGGCAAGGGGAGGGCGGACAUUGCCGCGCGGCCGCGGCCCCCCGUCGCGCCCCACCUCUUCUUCACCCAGCCGAGCCGAUCGACCUAG